AAUUAAUUUGUGAAGACGAGUCAAAAACCUGAGCCAGCUCCAGCCGAGCUCCGAACAACGAACUGCUGAUAGUCUUGGGAGAUAAGAAUGAAGAAGUGAGCGCUGACACGAUCAUUGUAUUUUUAUAUUUCUUUAUAAAUAUCUGUAAGCCUACAGGGAACAAGGCGAUCUUAAUUAUUUUGAUGCAAUCCAAAGGUAACUAAUAUAUAUAUAACAUUGCAGGAUUCCAGGAUUCGAAUUGUCUCAAAACCACUCUAAGAUCAGAGUUAACAGUUAAGAUCCACAAAGUCUUGGAUUAAUCAGGCACAGAAUCAGGAGGUUUUAAGUCAUUUUAUUCGGUUGCCUUGAUUUUAAGAUUGCUUACACAUGACAUAAGAUCCUUCAGAAAUUUAUCUGCAGUUCACAUGCAGGCAAGUCCCAUGGUAUAUGGAUUUUUUUUUUACCAACUUGUUGUUUUUCGGCAGAGAGACUUCUGUUUUCAAUGUCCAGAGAAACUUAAAAAACGGUAUUGAACUCGAUUGGAUAGCUUAACCGGUGAGUUUAUCCCGUAUUAUCGGGACGAAAAAUACUGAUAUGAUUCAUAUGAAUUAUGAUUGCAUCUCAAGUUCCCAGCUUCUCCGUACAUGACACGGGCAUUUAAAUCUCGAAGAUUCUUGUGUUCGAAAUAAGACACACAGUGCAUGUAUCUGGAUCUUUGAAAUCAAACCAUAUCAAGACUAACCCCAAAUUCGCCCCUUGCCAGCAAGUAUACAACCGAGCUAUACUUGAUAAAAUUCAACAAACCUUUUUACAUUGCUCCCCAGAGGACCCAAACAACACCCUAUAUUACCAAAUAAAAGAGGCAGAGGCCCCAUGGCAUGCACCACCCCAUACCUAAACCACACUGGGGGUGUAGUACUCCUCUGUGGUGGUGCACAAUGUAUGUGUUUUUUCAUCAUUUAUAUUAUCUACAAUGACUCAUGCUAUCUCUACAGCCGGAUACAACUCAUUUCUAGAAUCCUGGGCUUUUAUUGUGGUGAGCCCAACUCACUUAUUUUCGUACGAUUGGAAGGACCACAGACAUUUGGGCCCACGGGUACUGGAUCAUGGAAGGACCAGUUUGAAUUCUCGGAGCCCUAC
rnacentral:lncRNA from 1 species